UCGUCUGAGUUUUCUAUUUCGAGUGCAUCUAAUUCCUAAUCUUUCCUAUGGGAAGAGAAAAGAAAAAUGUGAGAAAAAACCGUGAGAGAUUUCCUAGUGCCAUGCCCGGCUUCUGCGGAGACAGUCCACCUUCUGCUGUGCGCCUGCUUAAUUGGGUUUAAUUCUGGGCACCUCUGUUGGAAUGGAUAAUUCUGAGAAAUUUUGGCAAAAAUGACUCACCACUGGUUUUAGACCACUUUGAGGAGUAUGGUGGGAGAUUCUGUUCUGUUGUCUGUGUGCCCUCACAUCUCACUUGCUGUGUCUGCUGGGGGGGGAUCCUUACCUCUGAAUGGAUCAGACCCUGAAAAAGGCCAAGAGGGCUACAAUAUCCAAUAAAUCUUUUCCUUGUGUUGGUGACUGCAGCUACAGACCCUCAGAUGAACGUGCCAUAAGGGAAAUAUUGAAAGGAGAGAACACAUCCUCGCUCCAAAUUGCAACAUCUGGUUUAAUACUGCUCUCACAUGGUCAUUAAGUAUUAGUUGUUUUCACCAGUGUGUUUAUGAACAGUGUGUUGGUGGUGUUUAAAUUAUUCAGUGGUUGUCUGAGCUAGUGCCAAACUGUAGUGAGACAGACAGAGAAACGUUCAUGAGGAGGCUUGAGAUGCUUUGCACAUAGGAC